AUUGAACGCUGGCGGCAUGCUUUACACAUGCAAGUCGAACGGCAGCGCGGUCUUCGGCCUGGAGGCGAGUGGCGAACGGGCGAGUAAUGCAUCGGAACGUGCCCCGUCGUGGGGGAUAGACCGGCGAAAGCCGGAUUAAUUACGCAUACGACCUGAGGGUGAAAGCGGGGGACCGAAAGGCCUUGCGGUGUUGGAGCGGCCGAUGUCGGAUUAGCUAGUUGGUGGGGUAAAGGCUUACCAAGGCGACGAUCCGUAGCUGGUCUGAGAGGACGACCAGCCACACUGGGAGUGAGCCACGGCCCAGACUUCUACGGGAGGCAGCAGUGGGGAAUGUUGGACAAUGGGGGCAACCCUGAUCCAGCCAUGCCGCGUGCGGGAAGAAGGCCUUCGGGUUGUAAACCGCUUUUGUUCGGGAAGAAAUCCUCUGGGCUAAUACCCCGGGGGUAUGACGGUACCGGAAGAAUAAGCACCGGCUAACUACGUG
rnacentral:rRNA from 1 species